rnacentral:rRNA from 1 species
GAAAGUAAGCAAGGGCGUACGGAGGAUGCCUAGGCUUCUGGAGGCGAAGAAGGACGUGUUAAGCUGCGAUAAGCUCCGGUGAUUGGCAAAAACGAGUUAAUCCGGAGAUUUCCGAAUGGGGCAACCCGGCAGGCAGAAGGCCUGUCACACCGAGAGGUGGGCAAACCCGCUGAACUGAAACAUCUAAGUAGGCGGAGGAGGAGAAAGAAACAUCGAUUUCCUGAGUAGUGGCGAGCGAAAGGGAAACAGCCCAAACCUGUUUUGUUACGGCAGAGCAGGGGUUAUAGGACUGCGACAACUCAAUACCAACGAACGAGAAUUAACUGGAAAGUUAUACCAUAGAGGGUGAAAGUCCCGUAUUGGUAAGUUUGGUAAGCGGUAGCAGUAUCCUGAGUAUGGCGGGACACGAGGAAUCCUGUCAGAAUUCGCGGGGACCACCCCGUAAGGCUAAAUACUCCCAGAAGACCGAUAGUGGACCAGUACCGUGAGGGAAAGGUGAAAAGUACCCCGAACAGGGGAGUGAAAAAGACCCUGAAACCGUACGCUUACAACCUGUCGGAGCGGCUUCGUGCCGUGACGGCGUGCCUUUUGCAUAAUGAGCCUACGAGUUACUAAUCACUAGCGAGGUUAAGGGCCAUGAGGUCCGGAGCCGAAGCGAAAGCGAGUCUGAAUAGGGCGUAUAGUUAGUGGUUGUAGACGCGAAACCUUGCGAUCUACCCAUGAGCAGGAUGAAGGUUGGGUAAAACCAACUGGAGGUCCGCACCGGUAAACGUUGAAAAGUUUUCGGAUGACUUGUGGGUAGGGGUGAAAGGCUAAUCAAGCUGGGAAAUAGCUCGUACUCCCCGAAAUGCUUUUAGGAGCAGCGUUGAAAUAAUCUACUGGAGGUAGAGCUACUGAUUGGAUGCGGGGGCUUCACCGCCUACCAAAUCCUGACAAACUCCGAAUGCCAGUAGUAUGAUUUUCAGCAGUGAGCCGUCGGGUGCUAAUGUCCGGCGACUAAAGAGGAACAACUCAGACCAUCAGCUAAGGCCCCCAAACAUACACUAAGUUGAACUAACGAUGUGCGACUGCAGCGACAGCUAGGAUGUUAGCUUGGAAGCAGCUAUUCAUUUAAAGAGUGCGUAACAGCUCACUAGUCGAGCGGUUGUGCGUGGAUAAUAAACGGGCAUCAAGUGUAUUGCCGAAGCUAUGGGAUCGAAAGAUCGGUAGGGGAGCAUUCCAUCGACGCAGAAGCCGGAUCGUAAGGUCCGGUGGAGUUUAUGGAAAAGCAAAUGUAGGCAUAAGUAACGAUAAGGCGGGAGAGUAACCCGCCCACCGCAAGACCAAGGUUUCCUGAUCAACGUUAAUCGGAUCAGGGUCAGUCGGGGCCUAAGGGUAAGCCGCAUGGUGAUCUCGAUGGACAAUCGGUUAAUAUUCCGAUACUGAUAUGAACUGCGACGGAGGGACGGAGAAGCGUAAGCUACGCCAACAGACGGAAUUGUUGGUUAAAGGGUGUAGGUAUAUGAUUCGGUUAAUAGCUGAUUCAUGCUGAAACCUGACAGUACCGAGCGGCUACGGCCAAUCGGAUAGUUAGCCCAAGCAAGCUUCCGAGAAAAACUUCUAAGCUUCAGGUUCAUAUCACCCGUACCGUAAACCGACACAGGUGGUCGAGGAGAGUAUCCUAAGGUGCUUGAGUGAAUCACGGAUAAGGAACUAGGCAAAUUGACCCCGUAACUUCGGGAAAAGGGGUCCCUACGCAAGUAGGGCGCAGCGAAGAGGUCCAGGCAACUGUUUAACAAAAACAUAUGGCUCUGCUAAUUCGAGAGAAGAAGUAUAGGGCCUGACACCUGCCCGGUGCUGGAAGGUUAAGAGGGGAUGUCAGCGCAAGCGAAGCAUUGAAUCGAAGCCCCAGUAAACGGCGGCCGUAACUAUAACGGUCCUAAGGUAGCGAAAUUCCUUGUCGGGU